GCCCGACCAAGCAUUGAUUCUUUCAACAACUCUGUGUAUGCCUGGGCUGUGGAAAAAGACAUGAUUUUCUCAUACUGACGACCAAUCAGAUCAUCUAGUGGAACACCUAUCAUCAACCACUAGCUGGACCACAGCACUUGAUAUUCACGCAUGGUGAUACUCCGAACUGGACCUGGAUGCCUGCAGCAGGGAGAUGCGAUUUAACAGCUUGGUCCUAAAGAAAAGUGUACCCCUAGUCUCACUGUUGGCUGCCCAACAUUUACGAGGCUAGGAGCUUGAACAGUACAGUGAGUCUCAUAUAUGCAGACUUGUGAUCCAUCCCUUAUGCUACCAGAAAACUGAUCCAGAGUCAGACAGCCGCUGUUAAAGCCCUCACAAAGCUAUGAAAGCUAUCCCCGGGUUGUGUGAGCUCGGGACCAAGCCAAAAUCCUGAGAUGAUAAUACAGAGGUUAGUUUGAGAUCAUCACAUAUGACAGUGCAUACCCUCUUGAUGUUGCCACGGCAACAGUCACUGUCAACUUAAACAGGAACCUGACAGGCCCGCAAUUCACAGAUCUUGAAGAACUCAACUAUGUCUGUCAAAUCUAUGAGAACCAUCUGUAUGGAACCAUUGUGUACGUUGGAUGUCAAUGCCACUGAUCUGGAUGGGGACGUUAAGUCACAUACAUGAAGGGAAGAGGCUGGGAUGCCAUUGACCAGUCCACAUUCUUUUUGGAUAGCGCCACCAGGGAAAUUAUCCUCAAGGGUAUCCUUGACAAUGCCAACAUUGUCGGCUCCUUUUCGUUUGAAGUGAUUGCAUGGACCCAAUUCCUGCUCCUCUUACAAGAACUGCAACGGCCCAUGUGACCAUCAAAGUUGUAUACGACAGUCUGUCAGUGUUUAAUGCUGUUAGUAAUGUGGCCAUUUUUCUGGAGACUAAUGCCAUUGGAUCUGAAGUGCCGGCUGAUAGUGGUGAUAUUAGGGCUGCCGAUCCAAGCUCAUUCAGUCUCCAAAUUGAAACUUAGGAUGUCAACUACCCACAAAAGCGGGUUCUAUG